rnacentral:rRNA from 1 species
UACGAAGGGGGCUAGCGUUGUUCGGAAUCACUGGGCGUAAAGCGUCACGUAGGCGGAUCUUUAAGUCAGGGGUGAAAUCCCGAGGCUCAACCUCGGAACUGCCUUUGAUACUGGGGAUCUCGAGUCCGGGAGAGGUGAGUGGAACUGCGAGUGUAGAGGUGAAAAUUCGUAGAUAUUGCAAGAACACCAGUCGGCGAAGGCGACUCGCUGGCCCCGAACUGACGCUGAGGCGCGAAAGCGAUGGGA